ACGUCAAGUCCUCAUGGCCCUUAUAGGUAGGGCUACACACGUCAUACAAUGGAUGGUACAGAGGGUUGCCAACCCGCGAGGGGGAGCCAAUCCCAUAAAACCAUUCGUAGUCCGGAUCGCAGUCUGCAACUCGACUGCGUGAAGUCGGAAUCGCUAGUAAUCGCGGAUCAGAAUGUCGCGGUGAAUACGUUCCCGGGUCUUGUACACACCGCCCGUCACACCAUGGGAGCGGGUUCUGCCAGAAGUAGUUAGCCUAACCGCAAGGAGGGCGAUUACCACGGCAGGGUUCGUGACUGGGGUGAAGUCGU
rnacentral:rRNA from 1 species